rnacentral:misc_RNA from 1 species
AAAAAAUCUUAAUUUUGACGAUUAGCAAUGUAAUCUGCUAAAGCAAUCAAUGGAGCAGCUUUGUGUGAAUCAAACGCCGCCAGCUGUUGUUUAGCUUCGCCGUUGAGCUCCGCCGCAAAUUCCUUAGCCUUUUCCAAUCCCAGCAGCUUCGGAUACGUCGUUUUAUCAACCGCCAAAUCUUUUCCGGCGGUUUUUCCGAGCUCCG